AUUGAACGCUGGCGGCAUGCUUUACACAUGCAAGUCGAACGGUAACAGGCCGCAAGGUGCUGACGAGUGGCGAACGGGUGAGUAAUGCAUCGGAACGUGCCCAGUCGUGGGGGAUAACUACUCGAAAGAGUAGCUAAUACCGCAUACGAUCUAUGGAUGAAAGCGGGGGACCGUAAGGCCUCGCGCGAUUGGAGCGGCCGAUGUCAGAUUAGGUAGUUGGUGGGGUAAAGGCUCACCAAGCCAACGAUCUGUAGCUGGUCUGAGAGGACGACCAGCCACACUGGGACUGAGACACGGCCCAGACUCCUACGGGAGGCAGCAGUGGGGAAUUUUGGACAAAGGGCGCAAGCCUGAUCCAGCAAUGCCGCGUGCAGGAAGAAGGCCUUCGGGUUGUAAACUGCUUUUGUACGGAACGAAACGGCUCUGGUUAAUACCCGGGGCUAAUGACGGCACCGUAAGAAUAAGCACCGGCUAACUACGUG
rnacentral:rRNA from 1 species